AAUCAACGCUGGCGGCGUGCCUAACACAUGCAAGUCGAACGCGAAAGUCCCGCAAGGGAUCAGUAGAGUGGCAAACGGGUGAGUAACACGUGGGUGACCUGCCUUCGAGUGGGGGAUAACGUCCCGAAAGGGACGCUAAUACCGCAUGACAUCCUGCCUUUGAAGAGGUGGAGAUCAAAGCUGGGGCUCGCAAGACCUAGCGCUCAAAGAGGGGCCCGCGCCUGAUUAGCUAGUUGGCGAGGUAACGGCUCACCAAGGCAACGAUCAGU
rnacentral:rRNA from 1 species